rnacentral:rRNA from 1 species
CCUACGGGUGGCUGCAGUGGGGAAUAUUGGACAAUGGGGGCAACCCUGAUCCAGCCGUGCCGCGUGUGUGAAGAAGGCCCUCGGGUUGUAAAGCACUUUCAGUGAGGAAGAACGCCUGGUGGUUAAUACCCAUCAGGAAAGACAUCACUCACAGAAGAAGCACCGGCUAACUCCGUGCCAGCAGCCGCGGUAAUACGGAGGGUGCGAGCGUUAAUCGGAAUUACUGGGCGUAAAGCGCGCGUAGGUGGCUUGAUAAGCCGGUUGUGAAAGCCCCGGGCUCAACCUGGGAACGGCAUCCGGAACUGUCAAGCUAGAGGGCAGGAGAGGAAGGUAGAAGUCCCGGUGUAGCGGUGAAAUGCGUAGAGAUCGGGAGGAAUACCAGUGGCGAAGGCGGCCUUCUGGACUGACACUGACACUGAGGUGCGAAAGCGUGGGUAGCAAACAGGAUUAGAUACCCCGGUAGUC